UACGUAGGGUGCGAGCGUUGUCCGGAAUUACUGGGCGUAAAGAGCUCGUAGGUGGUUUGUCGCGUCUGCUGUGAAAUUUCGGGGCUCAACCCCGAACUUGCAGUGGGUACGGGCAGACUAGAGUGUGGUAGGGGAGACUGGAAUUCCUGGUGGAGCGGUGAAAUGCGCAGAUAUCAGGAGGAACACCCGUAGCGAAGGCGGCACUCUGGGCCGAUACUGACACUGAGGAGCGAAAGCGUGGGGAGCGAACAGG
rnacentral:rRNA from 1 species